rnacentral:lncRNA from 1 species
AUGGAAGCGAUGAAGACAGGUUUCGUUUCCAAGAGCGGCGCGAGUAUCCUCGAGAACAUGAACGCAGCUACGAGCGAGACCGUGAGCGCAGCAGUUACGAGCGCGAGCGGCAUCAUGGCAGCCGCGAACGCAGUCGGCCUGAGCCAGAAGACCGGCAGCACCGUGAGCGGCGGCAUCGAGAGAAGGACGAUGGCUCUGUGUCUGGUAACAGCAGCAGUGGCCGGCACAAAUCAUCACGACGGCGACACCAUGAGGAGGACCUGGAGGGAGAAGGCCAUAGACGUCACAAACACAAGAAGUCAAAACGGAACCGCGACGAUAAGGAAACCGAGGGUGGGGAGGAGCAUGCCGUUGAAGCGGAACCACCUGCUCCUGGGGAAACCGCUUGAGGAAGAAAAACCCAUGUCCACCUUCACUCUCUCCUCCCUGUGUGCACGCUCCUCACCCUUGCCAAUCCCUCGAGAAAGCCAAGCUUCAAAAUGUCCCCUCUCCUUUCAGCGCAAAACAUUGGCCACUGUCCUGUGAAGCCGCUGGCUUUCCACAUGCAAGAUGCUUUGACGAGUGGUGAGGCUCAAAGUCCUCAGGUUGACAUGAAACCUUUGUGCCGACCUGAUGUGUCAUUCUAUCCACAUUGACUUAACCCCAGUGGGCAAUUAUUUGUACAAUUGAUUUUCCUAAAUUUAUAGGUCCUUCUGAGAUGCGCACAUUGAUUUUUCAAAAUAUUUUGGUACAUUACCAGUCUCUUUUGCUCCACCAGAGCAUACUCCUUCAAACCCAUGUAGUUAAUACAGAUUUUGCUCUUCCUGCUUGCAUUUCAGAAGAAUUUCCCUCUCCCCCCACUCUGUAAGAAUAAUUGACAGCCUAUUUGAGUUCCAAAAAGUUCACAUUUGGAUCCAACAGAAUACUCGGUUCUUUGAAUGAUCGUUGUCUGUCUCCCUUGCUGGACAAGAUAAACAAUGGAUUUUAUCAAGUUAAAGUCGAUGAGUAUGUUUACCCACGUGAUAAGCGAGUUGCAGCUGAUGCGUCAAGCUGAAGUCUUCCAUCGGAGCAAAAGGGCUUUUGCUCCGACGAAGGACUUGUGCUUGCUCCUCUUUUCCCAGGGUGGUGAAGAUGCUUUGUCGAUACAAUGCAGUUGACAUUUUGAUAACCUGUACAACGUUUUUGUUCAAGGUUGUGAUUUUCUGUCAUUUGGGAAAUCAUGGAAUUUAACUCAUUGGCCCAAGCGUUUUGAUUUUUCCGAGCGUGCAAUGCCCUCUGUGACUCUAUCCUUUUUGUUUUUGUUUUUUAAUUAAAAUGUCUAAACUUGGUGUUCUCUCUGUUUACCCCCGUCUCAUCUCUUCACUAUUUCGGCCAGGUAUGUGAAAUGAGUGAAUUCUUUCCAAUAAGUUACUUUGGGUAUGUUCUGGUAAUGUUCAUUAUAGGAUGGUGCACAGAAUCGGAUCGGCUCGGUGUUUCAUAGCGAGGGAGUUUCUCACAAAAUGCACGGUCCCUCAGAUGGACAGUACUGGCGCCUUG